AUCCCUGGGAGUAUCUGGGGUUGGGUCAUCGCUGGUGUGUGUGAGUGUGUGUGUGUGUGUAUGUGCACGUGUGCAUAUGUGUGCGCUUCUGGCCUCUGCAGCUGAGUCCUGGCCCUCGGGGGGCCUGGCACCUCCUGGGGACAGGCACAAAGCAGCCAUGAUGGAGUCGGGAGCUGGGGGAGGCCCCAUUGCCCCACGUGGCUGCCCUGUGACUCUGGGGUGCUUGUUAGAAGAGAAAAAAGCCUGGAGCAGGAGCUGGCCAGCCCCAUCCUGGACAUUGAGGACUUGGUCAAGAGCGGAAGCAAGCACAGGGUGUGCCCUUACUACCUGUCCCGGAACCUGAAGCAGCAAGCCGACAUCAUAUUCAUGCCGUACAAUUACUUGUUGGAUGCCAAGAGCCGCAGAGCACACAACAUUGACCUGAAGGGGACAGUCGUGAUCUUUGACGAAGCUCACAACGUGGAGAAGAUGUGUGAAGAAUCGGCAUCCUUUGACCUGACUCCCCAUGACCUGGCUUCAGGACUGGACGUCAUAGACCAGGUGCUGGAGGAGCAGACCAAGGCAGCGCAGCAGGG
rnacentral:lncRNA from 1 species